rnacentral:rRNA from 1 species
UUGAACGCUGGCGGCAGGCCUAACACAUGCAAGUCGAACGGUAACAGGAAUCAGCUUGCUGAUUCGCUGACGAGUGGCGGACGGGUGAGUAAUGUCUGGGAAACUGCCUGAUGGAGGGGGAUAACUACUGGAAACGGUAGCUAAUACCGCAUAACGUCGCAAGACCAAAGAGGGGGACCUUCGGGCCUCUUGCCAUCGGAUGUGCCCAGAUGGGAUUAGCUAGUAGGUGGGGUAAAGGCUCACCUAGGCGACGAUCCCUAGCUGGUCUGAGAGGAUGACCAGCCACACUGGAACUGAGACACGGUCCAGACUCCUACGGGAGGCAGCAGUGGGGAAUAUUGCACAAUGGGCGCAAGCCUGAUGCAGCCAUGCCGCGUGUAUGAAGAAGGCCUUCGGGUUGUAAAGUACUUUCAGCGGGGAGGAAGGGAGUAAAGUUAAUACCUUUGCUCAUUGACGUUACCCGCAGAAGAAGCACCGGCUAACUCCGUGCCAGCAGCCGCGGUAAUACGGAGGGUGCAAGCGUUAAUCGGAAUUACUGGGCGUAAAGCGCACGCAGGCGGUUUGUUAAGUCAGAUGUGAAAUCCCCGGGCUCAACCUGGGAACUGCAUCUGAUACUGGCAAGCUUGAGUCUCGUAGAGGGGGGUAGAAUUCCAGGUGUAGCGGUGAAAUGCGUAGAGAUCUGGAGGAAUACCGGUGGCGAAGGCGGCCCCCUGGACGAAGACUGACGCUCAGGUGCGAAAGCGUGGGGAGCAAACAGGAUUAGAUACCCUGUUAGUCCACGCCGUAAACGAUGUCGACUUGGAGGUUGUGCCCUUGAGGCGUGGCUUCCGGAGCUAACGCGUUAAGUCGACCGCCUGGGGAGUACGGCCGCAAGGUUAAAACUCAAAUGAAUUGACGGGGGCCCGCACAAGCGGUGGAGCAUGUGGUUUAAUUCGAUGCAACGCGAAGAACCUUACCUGGUCUUGACAUCCACAGAACUUUCCAGAGAUGGAUUGGUGCCUUCGGGAACUGUGAGACAGGUGCUGCAUGGCUGUCGUCAGCUCGUGUUGUGAAAUGUUGGGUUAAGUCCCGCAACGAGCGCAACCCUUAUCCUUUGUUGCCAGCGGUCCGGCCGGGAACUCAAAGGAGACUGCCAGUGAUAAACUGGAGGAAGGUGGGGAUGACGUCAAGUCAUCAUGGCCCUUACGACCAGGGCUACACACGUGCUACAAUGGCGCAUACAAAGAGAAGCGACCUCGCGAGAGCAAGCGGACCUCAUAAAGUGCGUCGUAGUCCGGAUUGGAGUCUGCAACUCGACUCCAUGAAGUCGGAAUCGCUAGUAAUCGUGGAUCAGAAUGCCACGGUGAAUACGUUCCCGGGCCUUGUACACACCGCCCGUCACACCAUGGGAGUGGGUUGCAAAAGAAGUAGGUAGCUUAACCUUCGGGAGGGCGCUUACCACUUUGUGAUUCAUGACUGGGGUG